rnacentral:rRNA from 1 species
ACGUAGGGAGCAAGCGUUGUCCGGAUUCACUGGGUGUAAAGGGUGCGUAGGCGGGACAAUAAGUCAGUGGUGAAAUCUUACGGCUCAACCGUGAAACUGCCAUUGAUACUGUUGUUCUUGAGUUCGGGAGAGGUUGAUGGAAUUCCAGGUGUAGCGGUGAAAUGCGUAGAUAUCUGGAAGAACACCAGUGGCGAAGGCGGUCAACUGGCCCGAAACUGACGCUGAGGCACGAAAGCGUGGGUAGCGAACAGGA